rnacentral:rRNA from 1 species
GUAGGGUGCAAGCGUUAAUCGGAAUUACUGGGCGUAAAGCGUGCGCAGGCGGUUUUGUAAGUCUGACGUGAAAGCCCCCGGGGCUCAACCGUGGGGAAUUGCGUUGGAGACUGCAAGGCUUGAAUCUGGCAGAGGGGGUAGAAUUCCACGUGUAGCAGUGAAAUGCGUAGAGAUGUGGAGGAACACCGAUGGCGAAGGCAGCCCCCUGGGUCAAGAUUGACGCUCAUGCACGAAAGCGUGGGGAGCAAACAGGAUUAGAUACCCUGGUAGUCCACGCCCUAAACGAUGUCUACUAGUUGUCGGGUCUUAAUUGACUUGGUAACGCAGCUAACGCGUGAAGUAGACCGCCUGGGGAGUACGGUCGGCAAAGAUUAA